UACGGAGGGUGCAAGCGUUAUUCGGAAUUACUGGGCUUAAAGCGUGCGUAGGCGGUUUAAUAAGUCAGAGGUGAAAGGCUAUGGCUCAACCAUGGGACUGCCUUUUAUACUGUUGGACUUGAGUCAGGCUGAGGUGGGUGGAAUGUGGCAUGUAGCGGUGAAAUGCGUAGAUAUGCGAUAGAAUACCGAUGGCGAAGGCAGCUGACUGGGACGUGAUUGACGCUGAGGCAAGAAAGCGUGGGGAGCGAACAGG
rnacentral:rRNA from 1 species